CUAGCUCGCCUCCCGCCCCUCCCGGCCAGCCCCAGGGAGCCACGCGUGCCAGGCCCCGCGUUACCCGGGCAACCGGCCGGGCGUCUUCAAACCUCCAGUGGCUAUUCUGGGCCUGCCCAGAUUGGGUAUUCCCCGGAGACCUGGGAGUCCUGGAACCUGCUCUCCAGUCACUGGAGCCUCGGCCCCACCCUGGAUCUGGACUGCAGCCACUGGUGCUGCCUCCGGUGAGGGAGGAGCCAGCGCCCCAGAGCCACGCUGGGUCGAGAGCAAGGCUGGGACUGACACCCGGCGGCGAAGAAACUCCUUGGGGGUGGGGACAGAGGGCUUGGUGAGAGCAACUCAUCCAAUCCAGAGUCAGAGACAGGUUUUUAUUUAAAAUUUAUUGUAAUGGGGUCCGCGCAAAAGGAGGGGAUGAAGGGUGGGGAACAUGCAGGGGACACAGGAACACGAUGACAUGGCCAGGGCCACAGCUUCUGUCUUGGGGGAGAGGGAUGAAAAGAAAAGGCCAGGGCUGGAGCUGGGGUGGAAGAGGGACGGGGGAGACACUGUGACUGCAUUCCCCCCACCCCCAGGAAGCACCUCUAGUCCCUGGAUCCCCCCGUUUACCCUGGCACCCUAAAAUUCCAUCUCUUAUCCUGCCUCUGGCCCUAGUGGCUCCUUCUUUUGCUCCCCUUGACGUGUUUUCCCCUGACAGAUUCUAAGUAGGACAAUGUUUAGGGCCUGACCCUAAACAACCCCACCUUAUGAAGGUACUACCGUUGCCUUCCCUGCUUCUGCCCCUUCUCCAAUCUCACCUUUUCCCCUCCGGGACAGAAUCUUUGAUUCCCCUCCUUCCUCUCCUCCCUCCCCCUGAAAAAAAAAAAAAAAAAAAAA